UACGUAGGGUCCGAGCGUUGUCCGGAAUUACUGGGCGUAAAGAGCUCGUAGGUGGUUUGUCACGUUGUUCGUGAAAACCCACAGCUCAACUGUGGGCGUGCGAGCGAUACGGGCAGACUAGAGUACUGCAGGGGAGACUGGAAUUCCUGGUGUAGCGGUGGAAUGCGCAGAUAUCAGGAGGAACACCGGUGGCGAAGGCGGGUCUCUGGGCAGUAACUGACGCUGAGGAGCGAAAGCCAGGGGAGCAAACGGG
rnacentral:rRNA from 1 species